rnacentral:rRNA from 1 species
CUUGGAACCGGGAGAGGUAACGAGGUACUACAGGGGUAGGAGUGAAAUCUUGUAAUCCCUGUGGGACCACCUGUGGCGAAGGCGUCUUACCAGAACGGGUUCGACGGUGAGGGACGAAAGCUGGGGGCACGAACCGGAUUAGAUACCCGGGUAGUCCCAGCCGUAAACGAUGCUCGCUAGGUGUCAGGCAUGGCGCGACCGUGUCUGGUGCCGCAGGGAAGCCGUGAAGCGAGCCACCUGGGAAGUACGGCCGCAAGGCUGAAACUUAAAGGAAUUGGCGGGGGAGCACAACAACGGGUGGAGCCCUGCGGUUUAAUUGGACUCAACGCCGGACAACUCACCGGGGGUCGACAGCAAUAUGUAGGCCAAGUCUGAAGACUUUGCCUGAAUCGCUGAGAGGAGGUGCAUGG